rnacentral:rRNA from 1 species
UGCAGCAACGCCGCGUGAGGGAUGACGGCCUUCGGGUUGUAAACCUCUUUUAGUAGGGAAGAAGGGAGCUUGCUCUUGACGGUACCUGCAGAAAAAGCACCGGCUAACUACGUGCCAGCAGCCGCGGUAAUACGUAGGGUGCAAGCGUUGUCCGGAAUUAUUGGGCGUAAAGAGCUCGUAGGCGGUUUGUCGCGUCUGCUGUGAAAACCCGAGGCUCAACCUCGGGCCUGCAGUGGGUACGGGCAGACUAGAGUGCGGUAGGGGAGAAUGGAAUUCCUGGUGUAGCGGUGGAAUGCGCAGAUAUCAGGAGGAACACCGAUGGCGAAGGCAGUUCUCUGGGCCGUAACUGACGCUGAGGAGCGAAAGCGUGGGGAGCGAACAGGAUUAGAUACCCUGGUAGUCCACGCCGUAAACGUUGGGCGCUAGAUGUGGGGACCUUUCCACGGUUUCCGUGUCGCAGCUAACGCAUUAAGCGCCCCGCCUGGGGAGUACGGCCGCAAGGCUAAAACUCAAAGGAAUUGACGGGGGCCCGCACAAGCGGCGGAGCAUGCGGAUUAAUUCGAUGCAACGCGAAGAACCUUACCAAGGCUUGACAUAUACGAGAACGGGCCAGAAAUGGUCAACUCUU